UACGAAGGGGGCUAGCGUUGCUCGGAUUGACUGGGCGUAAAGGGCGCGUAGGCGGAUAGUACAGUCAGGCGUGAAAUUCCUGGGCUCAACCUGGGGGCUGCGUUUGAUACGUGUUGUCUGGAGUUCGGAAGAGGGUCGUGGAAUUCCCAGUGUAGAGGUGAAAUUCGUAGAUAUUGGGAAGAACACCGGUGGCGAAGGCGGCGACCUGGUCCGAUACUGACGCUGAUGCGCGAAAGCGUGGGGAGCGAACAGG
rnacentral:rRNA from 1 species